UACGUAGGCAGCGAGCGUUGUUCGGAGUUACUGGGCGUAAAGGGUGUGUAGGCGGUUGUUUAAGUUUGGUGUGAAAUCUCCCGGCUCAACUGGGAGGGUGCGCCGAAUACUGAAUGACUAGAGUGCGGGAGAGGAAAGUGGAAUUCCUGGUGUAGCGGUGAAAUGCGUAGAUAUCAAGAGGAACACCUGAGGUGAAGACGGGUUGCUGGGCUGACACUGACGCUGAGGCGCGAAAGCCAGGGGAGCAAACGGG
rnacentral:rRNA from 1 species